GACGAACGCUGGCGGCGUGCUUAACACAUGCAAGUCGAACGGAAAGGCCACCACUUUUUUGGUUGGUGUGCUCGCGUGGCGAACGGGUGAGUAACACGUGGGUGAUCUGCACUUUACUUCGGGCUAAGCUAGGGAAACUGGGUCUAAUACCGGAUAGGACCUUGGUUUAGUUUCUGAUGAUGGUAUAAUUAUUGUUUUGGUGCAGGGUGCGCUCGCGGGCUAUGAGCUUGUUGGUGGGGUAAUGGCCUACCCAGGCGUCGACGGGUAGCCGGCGUGCGAGGGUGUAGGGACACAUUGGGACGGAGAUAAGGCCCAGACUCCUACGGGGGGCAGCAAUGGGGAAUAUUGCACAAGAGGAGCAAGCCUGAUGGAGUGACGCCGCGUGUGUGAUGACGGGCUUCGGGUUGUAAAAUCGUAUCGCUAGGGACGAAGCGUAUUUGUGACGGUACCUGGAGAAGAAGCACCGGAUAACUACGUG
rnacentral:rRNA from 1 species